UGGUUUAAGAGAUGUUUGAGUGCAAAUCAAAUGAGGGGCUUGAAAUGGCCCUUAAGCCU
rnacentral:tRNA from 1 species